rnacentral:rRNA from 1 species
UACGUAGGGUGCGAGCGUUGUCCGGAAUUACUGGGCGUAAAGAGCUCGUAGGUGGUUUGUCGCGUUGUUCGUGAAAACCGGGGGCUUAACCCUCGGCGUGCGGGCGAUACGGGCAGACUUGAGUACUGCAGGGGAGACUGGAAUUCCUGGUGUAGCGGUGGAAUGCGCAGAUAUCAGGAGGAACACCGGUGGCGAAGGCGGGUCUCUGGGCAGUAACUGACACUCAGGGACGAAAGCUAGGGGAGCGAAUGGG